rnacentral:rRNA from 1 species
UACGGGGGGGGCAAGCGUUGUUCGGAAUUACUGGGCGUAAAGGGCUCGUAGGUGGCCAACUAAGUCAGACGUGAAAUCCCCCGGCUUAACCGGGGAACUGCGUCUGAUACUGGAUGGCUUGAGUUCGGGAGAGGGAUGCGGAAUUCCAGGUGUAGCGGUGAAAUGCGUAGAUAUCUGGAGGAACACCGGUGGCGAAGGCGGCAUCCUGGACCGACACUGACGCUGAGGCACGAAGGCCAGGGGAGCAAACGGG